CGCUAAGAUCCGCUGCCUAUUUAAACCCCCUACCCUUCCUUCGGGGCUUUACUCCGCCUAAAGGACGGCACCUUUCUUUCGUCUGAGAGCCUAGCUACUCAGCCACUCCCUCGGUGCCCCUGCCAACUCCGAGCGUCCUCCGCGCCGGUCUUUGCCAUCUCUCUACCAUCUUCAGCCCCCUGAUUCCUCUCUAAGGGGUUUCCCCGCCAGGUCCUCCACCCCGGAGGCCAUCCUCAAGAGGAUGCCAAGGGCUUGGAGGAAGGCAAGGAGGAGAACAGCGGUCUGCGAGUUCACCGAUCAUCGAGCGACCGUUGAAGGUCCCCGUCGCUUCAAAGGGGG
rnacentral:lncRNA from 1 species